rnacentral:rRNA from 1 species
GACGAACGCUGGCGGCGUGCUUAACACAUGCAAGUCGAACGGAAAGGCCCUGCUCGCAGUGUACUCGAGUGGCGAACGGGUGAGUAACACGUGGGUGGUCUGCCCUGCACUUCGGGUUAAGCCUGUGCAACUGGGUCUAAUACCGGACAGGAGCCAUUUUGAGCGUGAUGGUUGGAAAGUGUUUUUCGGUGUUGGUGGAGCUUGUGGCCUGUCCGCUUGUUGGUGGGGUAAUGGCCUACCAAGGGGGCGACGGGUAGCCGGCCGGAGAGGGUGGACGGCCGCAUUGGGACUGAGGUGCGGCCCAGGCACCGACUGGAGGCAGCAGUGGGGAAUAUUGAACAAUGGGCGCAAGCCGAAUGCAGCGAGGCGGCGUGGGGGAUGACGGCCUUAGGGUUGUAAACUCCUUUCGCUAGGGACGAAGCAUUUUGUGACGGUACCUAGACAAAAAGCCACGGCUAACUACGUG